AAGUGCAUGUGGUGGAUGCCUUGGCGAUUACAGGCGAUGAAGGACGUUGUAGCCUGCGAAAAGCUGCGGGGAGCUGGCAAACAAGCUUUGAUCCGCAGAUGUCCGAAUGGGGAAACCCACUCCGCAAGGAGUAUCCCUGGCUGAAUACAUAGGUCAGUGGAGGCGAACCCGGCGAACUGAAACAUCUAAGUAGCCGGAGGAACAGAAAUCAACCGAGAUUCCCUAAGUAGUGGCGAGCGAACAGGGACCAGCCUGCAAGAGAUAACUAGUGUGUUAGUGGAACGCUCUGGAAAGUGCGGCCAUAGUGGGUGAUAGCCCCGUACGCGAAAACACAUUAGCGAGACUGAGCUUGCGACAAGUAGGGCGGGACACGUGAAAUCCUGUCUGAAGAUGGGGGGGACCAUCCUCCAAGGCUAAAUACUCGUAAUCGACCGAUAGUGAACUAGUACCGUGAGGGAAGGCGAAAAGAACCCCGGGAGGGGAGUGAAAUAGAUCCUGAAACCGCAUGCAUAC
rnacentral:rRNA from 1 species